rnacentral:rRNA from 1 species
GCUGGCGGCAGGCCUAACACAUGCAAGUCGAGCGCACCCCUUCGGGGCGAGCGGCGGACGGGUUAGUAACGCGUGGGAACAUACCCUUUUCUACGGAAUAGCCUCGGGAAACUGAGAGUAAUACCGUAUAAGCCCUUCGGGGGAAAGAUUUAUCGGGAAAGGAUUGGCCCGCGUUAGAUUAGAUAGUUGGUGGGGUAAUGGCCUACCAAGUCUACGAUCUAUAGCUGGUUUUAGAGGAUGAUCAGCAACACUGGGACUGAGACACGGCCCAGACUCCUACGGGAGGCAGCAGUGGGGAAUCUUAGACAAUGGGCGCAAGCCUGAUCUAGCCAUGCCGCGUGUGUGAUGAAGGCCUUAGGGUCGUAAAGCACUUUCGCCAGAGAUGAUAAUGACAGUAUCUGGUAAAGAAACCCCGGCUAACUCCGUGCCAGCAGCCGCGGUAAUACGGAGGGGGUUAGCGUUGUUCGGAAUUACUGGGCGUAAAGCGUACGUAGGCGGAUCAGAAAGUAUAGGGUGAAAUCCCGAGGCUCAACCUCGGAACUGCCUUGUAAACUCCUGGUCUUGAGUUCGAGAGAGGUGAGUGGAAUUCCAAGUGUAGAGGUGAAAUUCGUAGAUAUUUGGAGGAACACCAGUGGCGAAGGCGGCUCACUGGCUCGAUACUGACGCUGAGGUACGAAAGUGUGGGGAGCAAACAGGAUUAGAUACCCUGGUAGUCCACACCGUAAACGAUGAAUGCCAGUCGUCGGGCAGUAUACUGUUCGGUGACACACCUAACGGAUUAAGCAUCC